GGGUUAACAAGGAGGCAUGGGCCAAAUGCUAGAACUGGUGGGUGGAAACAGGUGGAAGAAAUGAAAGAGAAAGAGGCGAAGCAACCAGCUCAGGAUCUGCUUGCUUGCUGUUGGCUGUCUUUCCUCAGAUGUGACAGGCAGUCACUCCAGUGUCGACUGAAAAAGCAGACAAACAAAAAAGCCCAAGCUAAAAGUGGAGAAUUAUGUUUUAUUCGACAGACUUACUGAGGACUUAAGCCCGGGAGACAGACAGGCUUUCCUAAGAGAGUCUUGAAGUAACUGCCCCAGGUUUUAUACCUGCAUUCAGUGGGUGAGACAGGUAGAGUGUGCUUAUUCCAUCUUACCUAGAACGGGAACUUGGCAUUACUGAUGGAGCCACACAGUUAAGCAUUGCUUUCUUCAAUGAAGCCUCUUAAAAACACAAACGCCUCUGGAGAGAAAACGCUGCAGCUGGUAAGGAUUUUAGGUGGUUCAAGAAACACUCGAGAGCACAGUGCUAGGCACUGGGACUUCAGUGAUGAGUAAUUUGAUCUCUCUUUUCUUCUUGACCAGAGAAACAAGGUAGGUUGAAAAUUCUAGUUCCUGGAGUUCUCUGGUGGCCUAGAAGUUAAGGAUCUGGCGUUGUCACUGCUGUGGUCACUGCUGUGGCUCAGGUUCCAUCCCUGAUCUGGGAACUUUCCCAUGCUGUGGGAGUGGCCAAAAAAAAAAAAAAAAAAUUCUAGUUCCAAGAGUAUUUAUCCUCCAGAGUCCAUUCCCCCCCUCCCCAGAACUGGGCCUGGUCUUAAGAAUCACCCAAAACUCCCUGGGCCACCAGAAGGUCAACAUAAAAGGGCCACCAUGAUGAUUUCCCCUCUCCAAACACCUGCUGCCCAGCUACCGGGAAUGGCAAGUGUUCUGUUCCUUGGGUCCAACUUCCUUCCCCCUCAGGGUUAGUUACACAGUCCAGAAUAAGAAGUCAGUCUACUCGCCAAGUGGUGAAGGAGUUAUUUCAACGCUCUUCC